GAAAAUGAUGAUAGUUUUUGUCGCCCCAGUCUUACUUGCAUCUCACGAUGCAAGAUGGUGAUGGACAUUUUAUCUGAUUC